rnacentral:misc_RNA from 1 species
AGCUUUCAAUAAUGGAUCUCUUGGCUCUGGCAUCGAUGAAGUACGCAGCGAAAUGCGUUAAGUAAUGUGAAUUGCAGAAUUCAAUGAAUCAUCGAAUCUUUGAACGCACCUUGCGCUCCUUGGUAUUCCGAGGAGCAUGCCUGUUUGAGUGUCAUUAAAUUCUCAACCCCACCGAUUUGUUUUGGGGGGAUUGGACUUGGAGCGUGCUGGCGAAGGUCGGCUCCUCUUUAAAUGCAUCAGCGGAGAGAAACUUGCCCCAGUGUGAUAAUCCUGUUGCGCUGUGGUGGGCGAAAGUCUGCUUCCAACCGUCCUCCGGGACAUAUGCCAUCUUUAUUUUGACCUCAAAUCAGGUAGGACUACCCGCUGAACUUAAGCAUAUCAAUAAGCGGAGGCU